UCGAGGAUCUUCGGCAAUGGGCGCAAGCCUGACCGAGCGACGCCGCGUGUGCGAUGAAGGCCUUCGGGUUGUAAAGCACUGUCGAGGGGAAGAAAAGGGUAACCUUGAUCGACCCCUGGAGGAAGCACGGGCUAAGUUCGUGCCAGCAGCCGCGGUAAGACGAACCGUGCGAACGUUGUUCGGAUUCACUGGGCUUAAAGGGCGCGUAGGCGGGUGUCUAGGUCCGGGGUGAAAGCCCCCAGCUCAACUGGGGAAUGGCCUUGGAUACCAGAUACCUCGAGUGAGGUAGGGGCAGGUGGAACUUCCGGUGGAGCGGUGAAAUGCGUAGAUAUCGGAAGGAACGCCGGUGGCGAAAGCGACCUGCUGGACCUCUUCUGACGCUGAGGCGCGAAAGCCAGGGGAGCAAACGGGAUUAGAUACCCGCGUAGUCC
rnacentral:rRNA from 1 species